AACGUAAAUUGCGCUCCAGGCUUCGGCCAAGAGCAUGUCUGCCUCAGCGUCGGGUUAAUACUCACAUUUGCACUCCAUCCAGAGUGCCCAUGUGGAUCUGACUGUCUCGGUUUAUUUUACUUAAUUAUCCUGGUCAGCUGAAGCGCAGAUGUCUAGGCAUGGACCGCUAACUCGGGCCUCUCCUGGGUAGGCAACUUGUUUGCUGUAUUGAUUUAGUAGAUGGCUUGGGUACUGUCUUUGGCACGAGGCAGGAGUAUCUGUUCAUACAGGUACAACCAAUACCAUUUUCUCGACCUGAGCUCAGGCAAGAUUACCCGCUGAACUUAA
rnacentral:misc_RNA from 1 species